rnacentral:misc_RNA from 1 species
CCGAGUUAGGGUCCUCUGGGCUCGAAUCUCCAACCCUCUGUAUAUCUACCUCAUGUUGCUUUGGCGGGCCGUUGGGCCUGGCUCACCGUCGGCUUCGGCUGGCGCGCGCCCGCCAGAGACCAACCAAACUCUUGUUUAUCAGUGUCGUCUGAGUACUAUGCAAAUAGUUA